rnacentral:rRNA from 2 species
UACGUAGGGUGCGAGCGUUGUCCGGAAUUACUGGGCGUAAAGAGUUCGUAGGCGGUUUGUCGCGUCGUUCGUGAAAACUUGGGGCUUAACUCCAAGCGUGCGGGCGAUACGGGCAGACUUGAGUACUACAGGGGAGACUGGAAUUCCUGGUGUAGCGGUGAAAUGCGCAGAUAUCAGGAGGAACACCGGUGGCGAAGGCGGGUCUCUGGGUAGUAACUGACGCUGAGGAACGAAAGCGUGGGUAGCGAACAGG